CUGGGAGUAAGACCUCGGGAAACGUAGGGUCGUAAUACCGGAUAUGACUCCUCAUCGCAUGGUGGGGGGUGGAAAGCUUUAUUGUGGUUUUGGAUGGACUCGCGGCCUAUCAGCUUGUUGGUGAGGUAAUGGCUCACCAAGGCGACGACGGGUAGCCGGCCUGAGAGGGUGACCGGCCACACUGGGACUGAGACACGGCCCAG
rnacentral:rRNA from 1 species